GACGAACGCUGGCGGCGUGCUUAACACAUGCAAGUCGAACGGGACGGCCCUGCUUUUGUGGGGUGCUCUAGUGGCGAACGGGUGAGUAACACGUGAGUAACCUGCCCUUGACUUUGGGAUAACUUCAGGCAACUGGGGCUCAUACCGGAUAGGAUCUCCUGCUGCUUGGUGGGGGUUGGAUAGUUUCGGUGGUUGGUGAUGGAAUGGCGGCUAAUCAGCUUGUUGGUGGGGUAGUGGCUUACCAAGGCUUUGACGGGUAGCCGGCCUGCGAGGGUGACCGGCCACAUUGGAACGGAGCUACGGCCCAGACUACUACGGGAGGGAGCGGAGGGGAAGAUAAUACAAUGGGCGGGAGCCUGAUGUAGCAACGCAGCGUGCGGGAUGACGGGCUUCGGUUAGUAUAGCGCUUUCGCCUGUGACGAAGCGUGAGUGACGGUAAUGGGUAAAGAAGCACCGGCUAACUACGUG
rnacentral:rRNA from 1 species